rnacentral:rRNA from 1 species
GGACUACUGGGGUAUCUAAUCCCAUUUGCUCCCCUAGCUUUCGUUCCUCAGCGUCAGUUACAGCCCAGCAAGCCGCUUGCGCCACCGGUGUUCUUCCCAAUAUCUACGCAUUUCACCGCUACACUGGGAAUUCCGCUUGCCUCUACUGCACUCCAGUCUUACAGUAUCCAGUGCUGUACCAGGGUUGAGCCCCAGCCUUUUACACCAGACUUAUAAAACCACCUACGAACUCUUUACGCCCAAUAAAUCCGGACAACGCUCGCAUCCUACGUCUUACCGCGGCGGCUGGCAC